UUCCCUCGACCUCCGUCUUGAAAUAUUUGUCUUAGAAAUAGUUGUAUCUAGACUUAUUUUAGUUAUAGAUACAUCUAUUUUAUCUAUUUUUGGGACAAGUAUUUUCAGGCGGAGGGAGUAUG
rnacentral:pre_miRNA from 1 species